GAUGAACGCUGGCGGCGUGCCUAACACAUGCAAGUCGAGCGAUUCUCUUCGGAGAAGAGCGGCGGACGGGUGAGUAACGCGUGGGUAACCUGCCUCAUACAAAUGGAUAACAUACCGAAAGGUAUGCUAAUACAAGAUGAUAUAAGAGAUUCGCAUGGAUUUCUUAUCAAAGCUCCGGGGGUAUGAGAUGGACCCGCGUUGGAUUAGCUAGUUGGUAAGGUAACGGCUUACCAAGGCGACGAUCAGUAGCCGACCUGAGAGGGUGAGCGGCCACAUUGGAACUGAGACACGGUCCAAACUCCUACGGGAGGCAGCAGUGGGGAAUAUUGCACAAUGGGCGAAAGCCUGAUGCAGCAACGCCGCGUGAGCGAUGAAGGCCUUCGGGUCGUAAAGCUCUGUCCUCAAGGAAGAUAAUGACGGUACUUGAGGAGGAAGCCCCGGCUAACUACGUGCCAGCAGCCGCCGUAAAAC
rnacentral:rRNA from 1 species